UGGGAUAUUUGAAAUUAAAAUCAAAUUUGGAUUCUUCUCAUAUUUCACCUGUGGGCGCGUUCUUUCCCUUUUGGAUCAGAAUUUAAACUUGAGCAUUUGAAAUUAGGGUAAGAGUGAACAAAAUUAAAAUUAGAAGUUUAAAAAUCAAAGCUUUCUUUGAUUUCUUUCAAUCUCUCUUUCUCUUCUUUCUUUCUCGCGCGCUCUCUCUGGUUGAUUUUCUUUUAUUAUCUUCUUCGUCCAUAACGACGACGUGGUAGAAGUACUGGACAAGUCACAGGCAAGAGAGUUGAAUAUCAAGAAGAGGAGAGGAAGAUCUAAGAGACGAGGAGGCGGAGGAGGAGAUGCAAGCUUUAGGAGCAGAGGCGAACAGAGCUUUCACGGUGAUUUCAGAGGCGACAGAGUGGGGAAGAAGCAGCACAGCAAAGAUAGGAUGUUCAUCGCACCCCCUUCAAGCAACUUCCUUUCUGUUGCUGCGCGCUUUCAUUUACUCCGUUUGAAUAUCCGGUGUACACAACUGAUGGGAGUAUAUGAUAAAUUGGGUUUGCAAAUUUACUGGAACAUAAUCUUGUAGCAUAAUCCCGUGCAAAUUGGGUGCAAAUUGUGAGUUACUUGUCUGUUAAGGGUCCUUAGAAAGGAGAACUCAAUCUUAUUAACUGCCUCUUCAGUGUUUCUUCCAGUUCACCCAAUGAUGGUUUCAGUUAUUCACACUAGGCUGAUGGAGCUUACAAGCCAGCCAGAAGCACCAGAUAGGGCAGUGGCUCAAUGGCAUCUCUGGAAGAGUGUAGUGGCAGAAUGGUGUGCCGUACUGGAAGAGGAGAUGAUUAGGAGAUCUUGAUAUCAGAAACGGUGGAAUGAUUCGACAAAAGAGGGGAGCACACAGACAAGCUUUUGGUGGUUCGAAUUCACUCCCUCAAAGCAUCAGAAUGAGUUUCCAUCAAUGCCUCCUGUAAACUCAGCUUACUCUAUCCAGUCAGAUGCAGUUGAAAAUGAAUCAUAUCAAAGCUCCCUAAAGUACCCCAGCAGACAGAUAAUUUUGGAGUAAUGAAGAUCAUCAAGUAAUGCAAAAAAUAAUUCUGUAAGAGAAUUUUUUGCUGAAAUGUGAACAUGAGUUGUGGUGUUGUGCAUGUCUUUGGUUCAAGGGAGGCUUACCCUUCAAAAGCAGUGCGAGCUGAGUUACUUUGAGCAUACUUUCGAGUACUGGUAAGUGGUAACUAAGCUUUGUCCCUCUCUUUUUCCUUCUAUAAGAAAAAAUUAAAGAUAAAAAAAAAACAAACAAAGAAGGGUCUAUUUUGAGCAUACUUUCAGGUAAGAUAUUUUGAGCAUACUUCAAUAUCUUGGAUUGUUUUUUAUGUUACAUCAUUAAUGCUAUUAACUAUGUUUAUAUUAUAUGGAUUAAUUCUGUGGAUUACAAGAUAAGAAGAUUACAAUAGGCUAAGGCCAUUGAGUUACAAACAAGCUGAUGUGUUUCCUUUGUAUUUUUCUUUCAUCAGCAAGCCCAGUUGUGAGAAUGUUUCCAAAAAGGUUAUCUCAUCAGUAGGGGUGUGGUCAUUAACAAAGGAUUAUUCAUGGGAUACUAUUAUUUGUCAUGAUUCUGUUGAUGUGAGAUGGACAACACUUGGUGAUCUCUUAAUUAAUGGAAAACUUUUGGGAUGCUUAUACUACCGAAACUUUGUUGUAGUCUGUGUAGCAGAUAUAUCGGGAGUUUUCAUAUUUUUGUAAUUAGAGGACUUGCGAGAGAUAGUGAAAUCCAAAAAGGUAGUGUUUUGGAAGCUGAAGUUGAGAUGUUCAAAAAGUUUUUAGAGAUAAGUGAGUGAUUGUAUAUUUAUCAAAAAGUUUUAUUUGUUUUGGACAUUGAUUUUAUAUGUUAUUUUGAACUUUGCAGCUUUUAUCUUGAUCAUUGAUUAGGGAAUCUAUUUUGUUUUUUUAUUGGUGUCUUUUAUAUUAACCAUGUGGACCUUUCAUAAGUUCUCUAUUCUAUUUAAGUUAAUUUUCAAUAUUUUUGUGUGUAUUUAUUAUUUGUUACUAUUUUGGAUUUUUAUGUUCUCCUCCAUUAUGGGGCUCGCAAUGUUCAAAGUGUUAGGAAUGCUAUAGUUUUAAUAUUAAUUCUUUUAUGAUGUUCUUAGUGUGCUUUUGAUCAUUUCUGCUAAGCCAACUUGAUAGAGAAUGUGAAUUCCUAGACACACAAGAGGAUAAUGAAUGACAAUCUUCUAAUUGGUCUUCAAAAAAUGAGUUGUAUUCCGGUAUGGGAUUUAUUUUUCUUUUCAUAUGAAUUUAUUAGAUCAUUGUGAAAUAUUCUUAUUUCUUUUCAUAUGGUGAAUCCCACCCCCAUUGGAUAUUUUGCAUUCCAAUAAGAAUUUGCAAAUGGUAGUUUUGUUUAAAAUCCUAGAAUGGGAGAAUAAUAGGUUGGUUUGGCAAGGGCUUCUUUUUUUACUUCUCUUUUUAAAGAAUAUAAUCUUUUGUCAUGUUUUAUGCUUGAUUAUAUUUCUUGCAUUCUGUUAUUUUUUAUUAUAUUUAAUAGAUUAGUAAUUACAAUUAGUUUCUAGGUGUUUACUUUUAAUUAGUUGUUGGGCUUUAGGCUGUUCAAUUUGAUGUGAGUUGUCUUAAUUUACGUUAAAAAUUGCUGUUCAUGAUAUUCACAUCUAUCUUUGUUAUCUUUCUGAUUUUUGUUUGAUGGCAAAUCUCAACUUUGUUAUUAU